rnacentral:rRNA from 1 species
CUUGGUCAUUUAGAGGAGUAAAAGUCGUAACAAGGUCUCCGUUGGUGAACCAGCGGAGGGAUCAUUACCGAGUUUACAACUCCCAAACCCCUGUGAACAUACCAAUUGUUGCCUCGGCGGAUCAGCCCGCUCCCGGUAAAACGGAACGGCCCGCCAGAGGACCCCUAAACUCUGUUUCUAUAUGUAACUUCUGAGUAAAACCAUAAAUAAAUCAAAACUUUCAACAACGGAUCUCUUGGUUCUGGCAUCGAUGAAGAACGCAGCAAAAUGCGAUAAGUAAUGUGAAUUGCAGAAUUCAGUGAAUCAUCGAAUCUUUGAACGCACAUUGCGCCCGCCAGUAUUCUGGCGGGCAUGCCUGUUCGAGCGUCAUUUCAACCCUCAAGCCCUCGGGUUUGGUGUUGGGGAUCGGGCUGUACUCCAGCCCGGCCCCGAAAUCUAGUGGCGGUCUCGCUGCAGCCUCCAUUGCGUAGUAGCUAACACCUCGCAACUGGAACGCGGCGCGGCCAAGCCGUUAAACCCCCAACUUCUGAAUGUUGACCUCGGAUCAGGUAGGAAUACCCGCUGAACUUAAGCAUAUCAAUAAGCGGAGGA